UUUCCGUAGCAAAAUUGGAUUUUCAAAUUUAACGUUCAAGCUUUUUCCCCCAAUUAAAACCUAGUUUUUUUCUCACUAUUCCAGCCGCGCCUGGUCUUCCAUUUCUCCCACCGCCGUCCUCUCACCGGCGUCGCCACCGUCCUUGCUCGGACGCUCAUCGUCGCAGCCGCCGUCGAUUGGGAUUGCACUGCCCUCGCCCAGCCCUACCCCGUCGCUCGACUCCAUAGCUGCAACAAUUGAUUAUCUCGCUGCUGCAUUACGGCCUUUGAUAGGAAGCACUAUUGGCAUUGCUGCAGUUCAGCCAUCAAAAAGCGGGGCCGUGUGUCUGUUACUUCGCCAUUCCUAACUUCAAGGAAGCAGCAUCGUGUGUCAAUUACAGGUCUGGCUUGGCGCGAGGAUGGGUGAAGGCUGUUGGAAUUGUCAGUUGACCGUGUCUUUCUAUGUCUCAUGCUUAUCUUAUUGCUAUGACUCUAUAAGUUAUUAAACUCCCUGCUAUAUGUCUUCACACAUAUAGUAACGCAUCGCUGCACAACUCUGAUGAAUCUCUUUAUUUAAUUUGUUGUUGCCUGUAAUAUCCCAUAAGGGAAAAUACUUCUCAAACCUUGCUAAGUCUCGAAUUAUGUUUUACCAAGCAAGUAAUUAAUUUGGUCUUAAAGUCCUUCU